GGAGUAGCUCAAUGGCAGAGUGUCUGCCUUGCAGGCAAAAGGUCCCAGGUUCAAGACUCCGUUGCCCUGUUUUGACCA